rnacentral:lncRNA from 1 species
AGGGAUUAUAUAUUUAAGAGAUAAACAAAUAUAUUAAUCCAUUAUUCCAAUUUGUGUAAAAUAUCUAUACUUAAAAUCAUAAAAAGCCUAUUUUAUUUUUAUUGAGCUUAUACAUUUAAGAAAUAAACAAAUUAAUAUAUGUGAUAUAUUUAAGAAUUAAACAAACAACGGAUUUGCAGUCCUAUAUGUGUAAACCCAAUUUUACUAAUAACAAAUAAAUUAAAUUACAAUUUAUAAAAAUAAAAACCAUAUUAUAUAAUAAACUAUUCAAACACGCACUAAUUACAAUUACAAUUUAUAAAAAUAAGAUCAUAUUAGAUAAUAAAAUAUUGAAACAUAUCCUUAUCUAAUUAGAAAUAAUAUUAAAAUUGAAAAAUUGACAUUUUAAUAGAUAGAAUACCCGUAUCUAGUUCAUAACUUAAAUAAGAAACACCCAAAAGAAAAAGAAAAAAAACAAACAAAAAUCCAAAGAAAAUUUUCAGAAGGUGAAUUCUCAGGCCUUCUCUACUAAGUACUAACAACAACUCUCUCUCUGACUCUUCUCUGCAAAUUUUUAACUAAAAACUGAGAAAUAAAAUUUCUCUUGGAUCAUUCCACAAGUUAUAUAAAAUCUAGAAAAUGACCCAUAAAAUUAUCAAUCCUGCUUCCUUUAAAAACUCCACUUCCAGACCUUGACGCUAAGGCCAACAUUAUCAGUUAGUCCCUUAAGGGUCCCUAAGAAGGGGGAGGGGCCACAAAACAUCAGGACCGAGGAAAAAAAAAGAGGAAAAGCCCCUAAAUAAGGGACAAAUGAGGUGAGUCCUUGUGAGUCCUUGUACUAUUCAUUUGGGGACUUUCAUUUGGGGACCUAUUGAUAAUGUUGCCCUAAGAUCAGACUUACACUUACUUUGUUUCGAUGUCGCCACGGUCGGAGUUUUACCUUUAGGCACCGUCCCUUCGUAUCCUCGACACGUCACUUUGAUCUCCACUCCUUCGCUCUUCACCUUCCCCAUCUGCAUUUUCACCUUCG